rnacentral:tRNA from 1 species
GGAGAGGUCGCCUAGCCGGUCUAUGGCGCUCGCUUGGAAAGCGAGUAGGCAGCAAUGUCUCGUGGGUUCGAAUCCCACCCUCUCCGCCA